GGUCCGGGUCAGCGUGGUCACGCCGCCGGCGUUGGCGAUGCCGGCACCGCGUGCCGCCGCGCCCACCGCCUGGUUCGCCCGCAGCUCGGAGUCCC
rnacentral:tRNA from 1 species